rnacentral:lncRNA from 13 species
GAAAAUAAUAACAAUCAUAUUUAGGAAAGAAUUAUUUGUUAAGAAAAUAAUAUGAUUAAAUGUAAUGAUGAUUAUAAUAAUACAUAAAGGUUAAAUGAUUAUGAAGAACUAGGGGUAAACAAAUAUAUACAAUCCUAUGGGAGAUGUUAAUGUAACACUUGAGAAAAAAGAUAUAAAACAUUUUUUUAAAGGGACUUGCUUUAUAAACAUUCAAAUUUGGAGCAAAGAGAACAAGUCAGAUACAUUAACAAGGAGUGUAAAUGCCUUGUUAGAGAAAGCAUAUUGAGUCAAUCCGAGUUAGUAUGCUGGCUACUAUGUUGUCUUUUGAUUGGUUUCUCCAUUAUGGGCCUAUCAAGGUUAAUUUUGUGUGUGUUUUGACUUUCCACAGGUUAUUGGUUUGCCUUUUCAUCCACAGCAGAGCUCAAAAUGAGCACAGCUUCCCCACAGAGCGAGUGCUAUGAGCAAUGUAGCAGUUCAUCUGCUUCAAGGUCUUCUUCCCACUACCAGAGACUACUGUGAUACAAUGACUAGAACACAGACAGAAUAUCAGCAUUUGAGAGGUGGGGUUCCAAUGUUAAGAAGAGGGCAUCUGAAAUGGAGGCUAAGUUGUGAUUUGGCUGCAAACAAUAAGAAAAAUCUGAGGAUCCUUUGUGUUGUGAAAAGCAGAGGAAUCUUGACUUUGUGGAGUGAAGACUUAAAGAAAUUAUCAAGAUGAUCUUCAUUUUCUCCUCAGUUUGACUGAACUUUAGACAGUUUUUCCUGAACACAGACUCUUUUCAUCUCUUUUCCAAGGUAAGUAUUUACUUCAGCAAACUCAAAUUGCAAAUGUUUACUGUGUCCCUUUUAAAAUAAUCUUGCCAGUUUUAUAAUUUAAGAAUGUCUGUGUUAGAAAUGUAGGUUGGAUACCUUUGAAAUGUACCCAUCAAGGAUGACAGUCCUCUAAGUUUGUGAGAAAAUAGAAGCCUGACUUUAAUGGACACCAAAUUCACAAACACCAAAUGCUUAAUGACAGAGGGAAA